rnacentral:rRNA from 1 species
AUUGAACGCUGGCGGCAGGCCUAACACAUGUAAGUCGAACGGUAACAGGAAACAGCUUGCUGUUUCGCUGACGAGUGGCGGACGGGUGAGUAAUGUCUGGGAAACUGCCUGAUGGAGGGGGAUAACUACUGGAAACGGUAGCUAAUACCGCAUAACGUCGCAAGACCAAAGAGGGGGACCUUCGGGCCUCUUGCCAUCGGAUGUGCCCAGAUGGGAUUAGCUAGUAGGUGGGGUAACGGCUCACCUAGGCGACGAUCCCUAGCUGGUCUGAGAGGAUGACCAGCCACACUGGAACUGAGACACGGUCCAGACUCCUACGGGAGGCAGCAGUGGGGAAUAUUGCACAAUGGGCGCAAGCCUGAUGCAGCCAUGCCGCGUGUAUGAAGAAGGCCUUCGGGUUGUAAAGUACUCUCAGCGGGGAGGAAGGGAGUAAAGUUAAUACCUUUACUCAUUGACGUUACCCGCAGAAGAAGCACCGGCUAACUCCGUG